GAUGAACGCUGGCGGCGUGCUUAACACAUGCAAGUCGAACGAUGAAGCCCAGCUUGCUGGGUGGAUUAGUGGCGAACGGGUGAGUAACACGUGAGUAACCUGCCCUUAACUCUGGGAUAAGCCUGGGAAACUGGGUCUAAUACCGGAUAGGAGCGCCUACCGCAUGGUGGGUGUUGGAAAGAUUUAUCGGUUUUGGAUGGACUCGCGGCCUAUCAGCUUGUUGGUGAGGUAAUGGCUCACCAAGGCGACGACGGGUAGCCGGCCUGAGAGGGUGACCGGCCACACUGGGACUGAGACACGGCCCAGACUCCUACGGGAGGCAGCAGUGGAGAAUAUUGCACAAUGGGCGAAAGCCUGAUGCAGCGACGCCGCGUGAGGGAUGACGGCCUUCGGGUUGUAAACCUCUUUCAGUAGGGAAGAAGCGAAAGUGACGGUACCUGCAGAAGAAGCACCGGCUAACUACGUG
rnacentral:rRNA from 1 species